GAAGAGAGAGUUCAAGAGUACGUGAAACCGCACAGAGUCAAACUGGUGGAUCCGCAGAGUCCGCGCGGGGAAUUCAGCCCGGCAGGCGGGGCCGCGCGCCGGCCGAGAUUCGUCUCGGACCUGGCUGGCGCGCAGGCACUCGCAGGCAGGGUGCACUUUCCCCGGCUAGCGGAAGGCCACGACCGGUUCGGUGGCGGUCAGGAGCCCGGAGGGGAGGUAGCCGUGAUCGGUAUCCGAUCGCGGAACGUACAGCCCUCCGAGGUGGACUCGCCGCUGGACCGAGGAUGCCGCGGUGGCCUCACGCCGCGGGCCGUCCGGGAGCGUUCGACUUUGGCCACGCUGCUCGCAGCGGGUCGAGACCGCGCGCCUGGUACGGGCUCGCGAUCGUGGGUCGCCUAGGGUCAGUGGCGAAUCGGUCGGCAACCCACCAGACCCGUCUUGAAACACGGACCAAGGAGUCUAGCAUGUGCGCGAGUCACGGGGUCUCUCGAAACCCAAGGGCGCAAUGAAAGUGAAGGCCGCCUCCGGCUGGCCCAGGCAAGAUCCCGAGUCGUUCGCGACGAGGGCGCACUGCCGGCCCGUCUCGCUGGCAUCGACCACGAGGCGGAGCAAGAGCGCACACGCUGGGACCCGAAAGAUGGUGAACUAUGCCUGAGUAGGACGAAGUCA
rnacentral:rRNA from 1 species